rnacentral:rRNA from 1 species
GAUGAACGCCUGCGGCGUGCCUAAUACAUUCAAGUCGAGCGAACGGACGAGAAGCUUUCUUCUCUGAUGUUAGCGGCGGACGGGUGAGUAACACGUGGAUAACCUACCUAUAAGACUGGGAUAACUUCGGGAAACCGGAGCUAAUACCGGAUAAUAUUUUUAACCGCAUUGUUCAAAAGUGAAAGACGGUCUUGCUGUCACUUAUAGAUUGAUCCGCGCUGCAUUAGCUAGUUGGUAAGGUAACGGCUUACCAAGGCAACGAUGCAUAGCCGACCUGAGAGGGUGAUCGGCCACACUGGAACUGAGACACGGUCCAGACUCCUACGGGAGGCAGCAGUAGGGAAUCUUCCGCAAUGGGCGAAAGCCUGACGGAGCAACGCCGCGUGAGUGAUGAAGGUCUUCGGAUCGUAAAACUCUGUUAUUAGGGAAGAACAUAUGUGUAAGUAACUGUGCACAUCUUGACGGUACCUAAUCAGAAAGCCACGGCUAACUACGUG